UGAGGUGCAGAUCGGACAGGAAAGUGGGGGCAGAAUUAGUUUUAAUGAAGGCACCUUAACUUCACCCUUCCUAAGUUUCUAACACCUUUUGAUAACACUUUCCAAGAUAGCAUGGGAGUCUGCCACAGAGACAGCCCAGCCCAGGGCUCUUUGGAGAACUUGAGCCUGCCAGAAAUGCUAGUGGAGAAGUUCCAGCAGCACAGGUUGGUGGAGUAGCACUGAAGAGGGAGGAGAACUGAUAAAUCAGCAGCUUCUACAAGGACUGAAUCUGCUGUUACAUGCUAGUUCAAUCCAGCCUUGGCCGGAACGCCCCAUGUUGUCUGAUUGGGUCUCUGGUGCCACGCAGUAAAAUAGCAGCCACGUA